UAAAACGUAGGACGCAAGCGUUAUCCGGAGUUACUGGGCGUAAAGGGCGUGUAGGCGGCUUUUCAAGUUCGUCGUGAAAGACCCCGGCUAAACCGGGGGAGGUCGAGGGAGACUGAGAAGCUGGAGGGCGGCAGAGGGACAGGGAAUUCCGGGUGUAGUGGUGAAAUGCGUAGAGAUCCGGAGGAACACCAGUGGCGAAGGCGCUGUCCUGGGCCGCAACUGACGCUGAGACGCGAAAGCAUGGGGAGCGAACGGGAUUAGAAACCCCGGUAGUCCAUGCCGUAAACGAUGUCGACUAGGUGUUCGGCUCCCGGAAGGGAGCGGGGUGCCGCAGCAAACGCGAUAAGUCGACCGCCUGGGGAGUACGGUCGCAAGGCUA
rnacentral:rRNA from 1 species